GACGAACGCUGGCGGCGUGCUUAACACAUGCAAGUCGAACGGUAAGGCCCUUCGGGGUACACGAGUGGCGGACGGGUGAGUAACACGUGGGUGAUCUACCCUGCACUUCGGGAUAAGCCUGGGAAACUGGGUCUAAUACCGGAUAGGACCACUGCCUGCAUGGGUGGUGGUGGAAAGCUUUUGCGGUGUGGGAUGGGCCCGCGGCCUAUCAGCUUGGUGGUGGGGUGAUGGCCUACCAAGGCGACGACGGGUAGCCGGCCUGAGAGGGUGACCGGCCACACUGGGACUGAGAUACGGCCCAGACUCCUACGGGAGGCAGCAGUGGGGAAUAUUGCACAAUGGGCGCAAGCCUGAUGCAGCGACGCCGCGUGAGGGAUGACGGCCUUCGGGUUGUAAACCUCUUUCAGCACCGACGAAGCGCAAGUGACGGUAGGUGCAGAAGAAGGACCGGCCAACUACGUGCCAGCAGCCGCCGUAA
rnacentral:rRNA from 1 species